rnacentral:rRNA from 1 species
AUCGAUGAAGAACGCAGCGAAAUGCGAUAAGUAAUGUGAAUUGCAGAAUUCAGUGAAUCAUCGAAUCUUUGAACGCACCUUGCGCUCCUUGGUAUUCCGAGGAGCAUGCCUGUUUGAGUGUCAUUAAAUUCUCAAUCCUUUCUGGGUUUAUUCUCAGCUAGGCUUGGAUAUGGGGGUUUUGCUGGCUUUGUACAGACAAAGUCAGCUCUCCUGAAAAACAUUAGCAAGACUGUUGUUGCAACCUUCUAUCUGGUGUGAUAAUUAUCUACAUCAUAGAUUGUAUGCAGUUUAUUAUGUCUGGCUUCUAACAGUCCAUUGAAUUGGACAAAACCUAUGACAAUUUGACCUCAAAUCAGGUAGGACUACCCGC